UUGAAGAGUUUGAUCAUGGCUCAGAUUGAACGCUGGCGGCAGGCCUAACACAUGCAAGUCGAGCGGUAGCACAGAGAGCUUGCUCUCGGGUGACGAGCGGCGGACGGGUGAGUAAUGUCUGGGAAACUGCCUGAUGGAGGGGGAUAACUACUGGAAACGGUAGCUAAUACCGCAUAACGUCGCAAGACCAAAGUGGGGGACCUUCGGGCCUCAUGCCAUCAGAUGUGCCCAGAUGGGAUUAGCUAGUAGGUGGGGUAACGGCUCACCUAGGCGACGAUCCCUAGCUGGUCUGAGAGGAUGACCAGCCACACUGGAACUGAGACACGGUCCAGACUCCUACGGGAGGCAGCAGUGGGGAAUAUUGCACAAUGGGCGCAAGCCUGAUGCAGCCAUGCCGCGUGUGUGAAGAAGGCCUUCGGGUUGUAAAGCACUUUCAGCGGGGAGGAAGGCGAUAAGGUUAAUAACCUUGUCGAUUGACGUUACCCGCAGAAGAAGCACCGGCUAACUCCGUGCCAGCAGCCGCGGUAAUACGGAGGGUGCAAGCGUUAAUCGGAAUUACUGGGCGUAAAGCGCACGCAGGCGGUCUGUCAAGUCGGAUGUGAAAUCCCCGGGCUUAACCUGGGAACUGCAUUCGAAACUGGCAGGCUAGAGUCUUGUAGAGGGGGGUAGAAUUCCAGGUGUAGCGGUGAAAUGCGUAGAGAUCUGGAGGAAUACCGGUGGCGAAGGCGGCCCCCUGGACAAAGACUGACGCUCAGGUGCGAAAGCGUGGGGAGCAAACAGGAUUAGAUACCCUGGUAGUCCACGCCGUAAACGAUGUCGAUUUGGAGGUUGUGCCCUUGAGGCGUGGCUUCCGGAGCUAACGCGUUAAAUCGACCGCCUGGGGAGUACGGCCGCAAGGUUAAAACUCAAAUGAAUUGACGGGGGCCCGCACAAGCGGUGGAGCAUGUGGUUUAAUUCGAUGCAACGCGAAGAACCUUACCUGGUCUUGACAUCCACAGAACUUUCCAGAGAUGGAUUGGUGCCUUCGGGAACUGUGAGACAGGUGCUGCAUGGCUGUCGUCAGCUCGUGUUGUGAAAUGUUGGGUUAAGUCCCGCAACGAGCGCAACCCUUAUCCUUUGUUGCCAGCGGUUCGGCCGGGAACUCAAAGGAGACUGCCAGUGAUAAACUGGAGGAAGGUGGGGAUGACGUCAAGUCAUCAUGGCCCUUACGACCAGGGCUACACACGUGCUACAAUGGCAUAUACAAAGAGAAGCGACCUCGCGAGAGCAAGCGGACCUCAUAAAGUAUGUCGUAGUCCGGAUUGGAGUCUGCAACUCGACUCCAUGAAGUCGGAAUCGCUAGUAAUCGUAGAUCAGAAUGCUACGGUGAAUACGUUCCCGGGCCUUGUACACACCGCCCGUCACACCAUGGGAGUGGGUUGCAAAAGAAGUAGGUAGCUUAACCUUCGGGAGGGCGCUUACCACUUUGUGAUUCAUGACUGGGGUGAAGUCGUAACAAGGUAACCGUAGGGGAACCUGCGGUUGGAUCACCUCCUU
rnacentral:rRNA from 1 species